AGCAGCCGCGGUAAUUCCAGCUCCAAUAGCGUAUAUUAAAGUUGUUGCAGUUAAAAAGCUCGUAGUUGAAUUUCGGGGUUAGUAGAUUGGUCGUGCCACUGGUAUGUACUGGUCUCACUGGCUCCUCCCUCCUGAUGAACCGUAAUGCCAUUAAUUUGGUGUUGCGGGGAGACUGGACUGUUACUUUGAAAAAAUUAGAGUGUUUAAAGCAGGCUAACGCUUGAAUCCAUUAGCAUGGAAUAAUGAAAUAGGACGUUCGAUCUUAUUUUGUUGGUUUCUAAGAUUGACGUAAUGAUUAAUAGGGAUAGUUGGGGGCGUUAGUAUUCAAUUGUCAGAGGUGAAAUUCUUGGAUUUAUUGAAGACUAACUACUGCGAAAGCAUUUGCCAAGGAUGUUUUCAUUAAUCAAGAACGAAAGUUAGGGGAUCGAAGACGAUCAGAUACCGUCGUAGUCUUAACCAUAAACUAUGCCGACUAGGGAUCGGAUGAUGUUAAUUUUUUAAUGACUCAUUCGGCGCC
rnacentral:sRNA from 1 species